rnacentral:rRNA from 1 species
GGGGAAUCUUGCACAAUGGGCGAAAGCCUGAUGCAGCAACGCCGCGUGAGUGAAGAAGGCCUUUGGGUCGUAAAGCUCUUUCGGCCGGGAAGAAGGGUCCAUCCGCUAAUAUCGUAUGGAUUUGACGGUACCGGAAGAAGAAGCACCGGCUAACUUCGUGCCAGCAGCCGCGGUAAUACGAAGGGUGCAAGCGUUGUUCGGAAUUAUUGGGCGUAAAGCGCGCGUAGGCGGGCUUGUAAGUCGAUUGUGAAAUCCCCGGGCUUAACCUGGGAAUUGCAGUCGAAACUGCAAGUCUUGAAUGUUUGAGAGGAUGGCGGAAUUCCUGGUGUAGUAGUGAAAUACGUAGAUAUCAGGAGGAACACCGGAGGCGAAGGCGGCUAUCUGGCAAUACAUUGACGCUGAGGCGCGAAAGCGUGGGGAUCAAAC